rnacentral:rRNA from 1 species
UGGGGAAUCUUGCGCAAUGGGCGAAAGCCUGACGCAGCCACGCCGCGUGGGUGAUGAAGGCCUUCGGGUCGUAAAGCCCUGUCGGGAGGAACGAAAGCCUGCUUAUGCAGGCCUGACGGUACCUCGCAAGAAAGCGCCGGCUAACUCCGUGCCAGCAGCCGCGGUAAUACGGAGGGCGCAAGCGUUGCUCGGAAUCACUGGGCGUAAAGCGCACGCAGGCGGUCUGAUAAGUCGGAUGUGAAAUCCCCAGGCUCAACCUGGGAACUGCAUUCGAAACUGCCAGACUUGAGUAUUGGAGAGGGAAGCGGAAUUCCUGGUGUAGAGGUGAAAUUCGUAGAUAUCAGGAGGAACAUCGGUGGCGAAGGCGGCUUCCUGGCCAAAUACUGACGCUCAUGUGCGAAAGCGUGGGGAGCAAACAGG